rnacentral:rRNA from 1 species
UACGUAGGGUGCAAGCGUUGUCCGGAAUUAUUGGGCGUAAAGAGCUCGUAGGCGGUUCGUCACGUCGGCUGUGAAAACCUGAGGCUCAACCUCAGGCCUGCAGUCGAUACGGGCGGACUCGAGUUCGGCAGGGGAGACUGGAAUUCCUGGUGUAGCGGUGAAAUGCGCAGAUAAUCAGGAGGAACACCGGUGGCGAAGGCGGGUCUCUGGGCCGAAUGACUGACGCUGGAGGAGCGAAAGCGUGGGGAGGCGAACAGGA